rnacentral:rRNA from 1 species
UACGAAGGGGGCUAGCGUUGUUCGGAAUCACUGGGCGUAAAGCGCACGUAGGCGGAUAUUUAAGUCAGGGGUGAAAUCCCGCAGCUCAACUGCGGAACUGCCUUUGAUACUGGGUAUCUUGAGUAUGGAAGAGGUUAGUGGAAUUGCGAGUGUAGAGGUGAAAUUCGUAGAUAUUCGCAGGAACACCAGUGGCGAAGGCGGCUAACUGGUCCAUAACUGACGCUGAGGUGCGAAAGCGUGGGGAGCAAACAGG